AUUCUGAAAAAGCAAAAAAAGGAGGGCAAAGUAAACCGAACCGCUUACCUUUUCGUAAGCCGCACACUUCAGGCCAGGCCUUGCUAUAACCAACCUCACAAAUCCCACUCAAUCUUUUACACCGAUGUAUCGUACUCUCUCGACCAGGUCAUCAUAAUCAAAUACUUAUAAAUCUAUCUUUCUGAAGUGAGAGAAGGAGGGAAGGCGCGCUAGCACGCUACAACUAACAUAACAGCCA
rnacentral:lncRNA from 1 species